rnacentral:rRNA from 1 species
GACGAACGCUGGCGGCGUGCCUAAUACAUGCAAGUAGAACGCUGAAGGAAGGAGCUUGCUCUUUCUGGAUGAGUUGCGAACGGGUGAGUAACGCGUAGGUAACCUGCCUGGUAGCGGGGGAUAACUAUUGGAAACGAUGGCUAAUACCGCAUAAAAUUGAUUAUUGCAUGAUAGUCAAUUAAAAGGUGCAACUGCACCACUACCAGAUGGACCUGCGUUGUCUUAGCUAGGUGGUGGGGUAACGGCUCACCAAGGCGACGAUACAUAGCCGACCUGAGAGGGUGAUCGGCCACACUGGGACUGAGACACGGCCCAGACUCCUACGGGAGGCAGCAGUAGGGAAUCUUCGGCAAUGGACGGAAGGCUGACCGAGCAACGCCGCGUGAGUGAAGAAGGUUUUCGGAUCGUAAAGCUCUGUUGUAAGGGAAGAACGAGUGUGAAAGUGGAAAGUUCACACUGUGACGGUAUCUUACCAGAAAGGGACGGCUAACUACGUG